AGAGUUUGAUCCUGGCUCAGGACGAACGCUGGCGGCAUGCCUAAUACAUGCAAGUCGAACGAACCAUCCUGAAGAUUGAAGCUUGCUUCAUGAUUCAGACCUUGGUGAGUGGCGGACGGGUGAGUAACACGUGGGUAACCUGCCCAAAAGUGGGGGAUAACAUCUGGAAACAGGUGCUAAUACCGCAUAACAACUACUUUCUCAUGAUCGUAGCUUGAAAGAUGGCUCUGCUAUCGCUUUUGGAUGGACCCGCGGCGUAUUAGCUAGUUGGUGAGGUAAUAGCUCACCAAGGCAAUGAUACGUAGCCGACCUGAGAGGGUAAUCGGCCACAUUGGGACUGAGACACGGCCCAAACUCCUACGGGAGGCAGCAGUAGGGAAUCUUCCACAAUGGGCGAAAGCCUGAUGGAGCAAUGCCGCGUGAGUGAAGAAGGUUUUCGGAUCGUAAAACUCUGUUGUUGAAGAAGAACAUGCGUGAGAGUAACUGUUCACGUACUGACGGUAUUCAACCAGAAAGCCACGGCUAACUACGUGCCAGCAGCCGCGGUAAUACGUAGGUGGCAAGCGUUGUCCGGAUUUAUUGGGCGUAAAGAGAAUGUAGGCGGUUUAUUAAGUUUGAAGUGAAAGCCCUCGGCUCAACCGAGGAAGUGCUUCGAAAACUGGUAAACUUGAGUGCAGAAGAGGAAAGUGGAACUCCAUGUGUAGCGGUGGAAUGCGUAGAUAUAUGGAAGAACACCAGUGGCGAAGGCGGCUUUCUGGUCUGUAACUGACGCUGAGAUUCGAAAGCAUGGGUAGCAAACAGGAUUAGAUACCCUGGUAGUCCAUGCCGUAAACGAUGAGUGCUAAGUGUUGGAGGGUUUCCGCCCUUCAGUGCUGCAGCUAACGCAUUAAGCACUCCGCCUGGGGAGUACGAUCGCAAGAUUGAAACUCAAAGGAAUUGACGGGGGCCCGCACAAGCGGUGGAGCAUGUGGUUUAAUUCGAAGCAACGCGAAGAACCUUACCAGGUCUUGACAUACCAUGAAAAGCUAAGAGAUUAGUCUUUCCCUUCGGGGACAUGGAUACAGGUGGUGCAUGGUUGUCGUCAGCUCGUGUCGUGAGAUGUUGGGUUAAGUCCCGCAACGAGCGCAACCCUUAUUAUCAGUUGCCAGCAUUCAGUUGGGCACUCUGGUGAGACUGCCGGUGACAAACCGGAGGAAGGUGGGGACGACGUCAAAUCAUCAUGCCCCUUAUGACCUGGGCUACACACGUGCUACAAUGGUCGGUACAACGUGCUGCGAACUCGCGAGGGUAAGCAAAUCACUUAAAACCGAUCUCAGUUCGGAUUGUAGGCUGCAACUCGCCUACAUGAAGCUGGAAUCGCUAGUAAUCGCGGAUCAGCAUGCCGCGGUGAAUACGUUCCCGGGCCUUGUACACACCGCCCGUCACACCAUGAGAGUUUGUAACACCCAAAGUCGGUGGGGUAACCCUUCGGGGAACUAGCCGCCUAAGGUGGGACAAAUGAUUAGGGUGAAGUCGUAACAAGGUAGCCGUAGGAGAACCUGCGGCUG
rnacentral:rRNA from 2 species